rnacentral:rRNA from 1 species
UAAUAGCUCACUGGUCGAGUCGGCCUGCGCGGAAGAUGUAACGGGGCUAAACCAUGCACCGAAGCUGCGGCAGCGACGCUUAUGCGUUGUUGGGUAGGGGAGCGUUCUGUAAGCCUGUGAAGGUGUGUCGUGAGGCAUGCUGGAGGUAUCAGAAGUGCGAAUGCUGACAUAAGUAACGAUAAAGCGGGUGAAAAGCCCGCUCGCCGGAAGACCA